rnacentral:rRNA from 1 species
GAGCCCGCGUCCCAUUAGCUAGUUGGUAUGGUAACGGCAUACCAAGGCGAUGAUGGGUAGGGGCCCUGAGAGGGGGAUCCCCCACACUGGUACUGAGACACGGACCAGACUCCUACGGGAGGCAGCAGUGAGGAAUAUUGGACAAUGGGCGGAAGCCUGAUCCAGCCAUGCCGCGUGCAGGAAGACUGCCCUAUGGGUUGUAAACUGCUUUUAUACAGGAAGAAUAAGUCCGACGUGUCGGAUGAUGACGGUACUGUAAGAAUAAGGAUCGGCUAACUCCGUGCCAGCAGCCGCGGUAAUACGGAGGAUUCGAGCGUUAUCCGGAAUCAUUGGGUUUAAAGGGUUCGUAGGCGGGUUUGUAAGUCAGGGGUGAAAGUUCACGGCUCAACCGUGAAAUUGCCUUUGAUACUGCAGAUUUUGAAUAUUUGUGAAGUAACUAGAAUAUGUGGUGUAGCGGUGAAAUGCAUAGAUAUCACAUGGAAUACCGAUUGCGAAGGCAGGUUACUAACAGAUUAUUGACGCUGAUGGACGCUAGGUGCCGGGG